UGUGUUCACAAACAACCUAUU
rnacentral:piRNA from 1 species